ACUCAAAGGAAUUGACGGGGGCCCGCACAAGCGGCGGAGCAUGUUGCUUAAUUCGACGCAACGCGAAGAACCUUACCAAGGUUUGACAUACAGGGAAAAGCCGUAGAGAUAUGGUGUCCGUAAGGGUCCUGUACAGGUGGUGCAUGGCUGUCGUCAGCUCGUGUCGUGAGAUGUUGGGUUAAGUCCCGCAACGAGCGCAACCCUCGUUCUAUGUUGCCAGCGGAUAAUGCCGGGGACUCAUAGGAGACUGCCGGGGUCAACUCGGAGGAAGGUGGGGAUGACGUCAAGUCCUCAUGCCCCUUAUAUCUUGGGCUGCAAACAUGCUACAAUGGCCGGUACAGAGGGCUGCGAAAUCGCAAGAUGGAGCGAAUCUCAAAAAGCCGGUCUCAGUUCGGAUUGGGGUCUGCAACUCGACCCCAUGAAGUCGGAGUCGCUAGUAAUCGCGAAUCAGCAACGUCGCGGUGAAUACGUUCCCGGGCCUUGCACACACCGCCCGU
rnacentral:rRNA from 1 species